rnacentral:rRNA from 1 species
AUACGGAGGGGGCUAGCGUUGUUCGGAAUCACUGGGCGUAAAGCGCUCGUAGGCGGAUUGGUUAGUCAGAGGUGAAAUCCCAAGGCUCAACCUUGGAACUGCCUUUGAUACUGCCAGUCUUGAGGUCGAGAGAGGUAAGUGGAAUUCCUAGUGUAGAGGUGAAAUUCGUAGAUAUUAGGAAGAACACCAGUGGCGAAGGCGACUUACUGGCUCGAUUCUGACGCUGAGGAGCGAAAGCGUGGGGAGCAAACAGGAUUAGAAACCCUAGUAGUCC